UACGUAGGGUGCGAGCGUUAAUCGGAAUUACUGGGCGUAAAGCGUGCGCAGGCGGUUUUGUAAGCCAGAUGUGAAAUCCCCGGGCUCAACCUGGGAAUGGCAUUUGGGACUGCAAAGCUGGAGUGCGGCAGAGGGGACUGGAAUUCCUGGUGUAGCAGUGAAAUGCGUAGAGAUCAGGAGGAAUACCGAUGGCGAAGGCAGGUCCCUGGGUUGACACGUGACGCUCAUGCACGAAAGCGUGGGGAGCAAACAGG
rnacentral:rRNA from 1 species